UACAGAGGUCCCAAGCGUUGUUCGGAUUCACUGGGCGUAAAGGGUGCGUAGGUGGUUAGGUAAGUCCGACGUGAAAUCUCCAGGCUCAACCUGGAAAUGGCAUUGGAUACUAUCUAGCUUGAGGAGUGGAGGGGGGACUGGAAUUCUCGGUGUAGCAGUGAAAUGCGUAGAUAUCGAGAGGAACACCAGUGGCGAAGGCGAGUCCCUGGACACUUCCUGACACUGAGGCACGAAAGCUAGGGGAGCAAACAGG
rnacentral:rRNA from 1 species